AUGACACAUGUUACAGUUCCUGUCAUGCUGAUACUAAGUCUUUUCCCGUGUAAGAUACUGUUUUCCACUAGCCUGGCAAGCAGACAACCAAGUGUAGUGGAUGCUCUUGGGCUACACAAUGAUCUGCGCAUUGCUAAGCAUGAGUCUAGCGUUAUUCUGUUCUGGAAAAAUAACCUGACAGAAGAAGAAACAGACAUGUACGAUGUGAAGUAUAUUUUGAGUUACAAAUUCUUCAAUUCUGCUCAUGAAAGGAAAGAAGAACUGCAGGAGAAGAAAAAGAUAAUACGUCUUGAGUUACGUUCCGGUUUUAGUGCUAAAGUUAAAACAAGACUUUUWGAAAAGGGAACAGAAGACCUAAUUAAGGAGAGUAGCUGGACUGAAUUUACUUACAAGGCACCUCCAGUAUAUGUUCAGAAUCUUUCAUGCAUCAUAUAUAACAUUUCUUUUUUCAAUUGCACCUGGCAUAUUAAAGCAGAAGCUCCUGAAGAUCUUCAGGUUUUCUUUUCGUAUAGGUAA
rnacentral:lncRNA from 1 species